rnacentral:lncRNA from 1 species
GUCUUUUACAAAGAGUUGAGUGACACAUGAGCUUGAAAAUUUAUCAUACGGAAAUGACCUUGUGCAAACCGGGAGUAGCUAUUUUUGCACAAAACAAGGAAAUACAUAGAAACUUUAUAUUUUUAGAAUCAGCAUGCAAAAACCUGUAAUAGAUACCUGAAGUCACCUUAUGUUAACAGGAAGUAGCUAAUUAUCUCCAAGUACUAGUAUAUAGAAACCAAAUAUUUUCGGAAUCAGUGUAAAAUAAGCUAUCUUAUGACACCAG